GAUGAACGCUGGCGGCAUGCUUUACACAUGCAAGUCGAACGGUAACAGGCCGCAAGGUGCUGACGAGUGGCGAACGGGUGAGUAAUGCAUCGGAACGUGCCCAGUCGUGGGGGAUAACGCAGCGAAAGCUGCGCUAAUACCGCACACGAUCUGUGGAUGAAAGCGGGGGACCGAAAGGCCUCGCGCGAUUGGAGCGGCCGAUGUCAGAUUAGGUAGUUGGUGGGGUAAAGGCCCACCAAGCCAACGAUCUGUAGCUGGUCUGAGAGGACGACCAGCCACACUGGGACUGAGACACGGCCCAGACUCCUACGGGAGGCAGCAGUGGGGAAUUUUGGACAAUGGGCGCAAGCCUGAUCCAGCAAUGCCGCGUGCAGGAAGAAGGCCUUCGGGUUGUAAACUGCUUUUGUACGGAACGAAACGGCUCUGGUUAAUACCUGGGGCUAAUGACGGUACCGUAAGAAUAAGCACCGGCUAACUACGUGCCAGCCGCCGCCGUAAAAC
rnacentral:rRNA from 1 species